rnacentral:rRNA from 1 species
GAGUUUGAUCAUGGCUCAGAUUGAACGCUGGCGGCAUGCUUUACACAUGCAAGUCGAACGGUAACAGGCCGCAAGGUGCUGACGAGUGGCGAACGGGUGAGUAAUGCAUCGGAACGUGCCCAGUCGUGGGGGAUAACGCAGCGAAAGCUGCGCUAAUACCGCAUACGAUCUAUGGAUGAAAGCGGGGGACCGUAAGGCCUCGCGCGAUUGGAGCGGCCGAUGUCAGAUUAGGUAGUUGGUGGGGUAAUGGCCUACCAAGCCGACGAUCCAUAGCUGGUUUGAGAGGAUGAUCAGCCACACUGGGACUGAGACACGGCCCAGACUCCUACGGGAGGCAGCAGUGGGGAAUCUUAGACAAUGGGCGCAAGCCUGAUCUAGCCAUGCCGCGUGAGCGAUGAAGGCCUUAGGGUUGUAAAGCUCUUUCAGUGGGGAAGAUAAUGACUGUACCCACAGAAGAAGCCCCGGCUAACUCCGUGCCAGCAGCCGCGGUAAUACGGAGGGGGCUAGCGUUGUUCGGAAUUACUGGGCGUAAAGCGCACGUAG